rnacentral:rRNA from 1 species
GAUGAACGCUGGCGGCGUGCUUAACACAUGCAAGUCGAGCGAGAAAAGUUCUUCGGAGCUUUUCUAGCGGCGGACGGGUGAGUAACACGUGGGCAACCUGCCUCAUAGAGGGGAAUAGCCUUCCGAAAGGAAGAUUAAUACCGCAUAAUAUUGUUGAAAGGCAUCUUUUAACAACCAAAGGAGCAAUCCGCUACGAGAUGGGCCCGCGGCGCAUUAGCUAGUUGGUGAGGUAACGGCUCACCAAGGCGACGAUGCGUAGCCGACCUGAGAGGGUGAUCGGCCACAUUGGAACUGAGACACGGUCCAGACUCCUACGGGAGGCAGCAGUGGGGAAUAUUGCACAAUGGGGGAAACCCUGAUGCAGCAACGCCGCGUGAGUGAUGAAGGUCUUCGGAUUGUAAAGCUCUGUCUUUAGGGACGAUAAUGACGGUACCUAAGGAGGAAGCCACGGCUAACUACGUGCCAGCAGCCGCGGUAACAC